ACCCAAAACCCCAAAGAAAUAGGAAGAAACUAUGGCACAUCUCCGAGAGGAGAGCAGAGCCCACGACGGCGAAACCGUGGGGAGAGUCUUCUCUCGCCUCAAGCCCUACUACGUGUAUCUCCUCGACCUCGUCCGGAACCCUAAGAAUGACGGCUCCUUCCUUCCGGUGAUGGCCGACUUCCUCCGCCGCGCGCCGACCAACGCAUUGCAGCCUGUCUCGACUAAGCUCUGCCUCUUCUCCCUCCAAGAACCCUCAUAUGCCUCCACUUGACGACCAUUCCAAGAAUCUUUCUUCCUUAUCAAUAGCCAUCUCCAAUUGAAGCUAUACAUUGUUUCGGUUUCUUCUUUUGCGAUUCAGAUGGGUGCUUGGGGAACACCGGUGCCUCAUUGGGAGGUCUUGAGAUCAGUGAUAGUGUGGCGUAAGGUGUUCUAAUAUGCGUUGAGAAACUUCUAAAGAAAUGCCAUAUGGGGUCUGUGAAUCAGGUUGGUACUGCUGAUGUACUCGCCUUUUUUCUACCCGGCAUUGUCAGCUGCUGUGCAAAAGCUCUGUAUGUAUCAAGGAGCAUGAUAAAGUUGCUGCUGGAAGCAUGGGUAGCAUUGAGCAUGCAGUUCGUGGGUUAACUGAGUUCUUGAUACUAGUUUUGGAUGAUGAGGCAAAUCUCUAUGGCCUUGAGAUGUCGAUAAAUGAUAUUUCUGGGUUCUGCCUUAAGGAAAGUAGCUCUGCCCAAUCUGCACUGGAGGUCUUUCAUCAUUUACCAGUCAGUUCUCAAAAUCAAUCAACUAGCUGGAGAGUUGUCUAAUCAAUCACAGUCUUUUCUUCCAAAAAUGAACAUAAUGAAAAGAGAAAUCAUUAUGGGCAUGGCACAAGAUUUUUAUAUGUGCAACAUCCAAAGGAGCAGAUGGAUGAAACUUUUGCAAAUGUUGAUAAAGCUUUCUGUUCACCCUGCAGAUAAAGUCAGCAUGGCACUUGUGGAUGGUAUAGCAGGGCUAUUGUCAAAUUGCAGUUAGACCCGGAACAAGAGCAAGUUCAUGUGUUUAGUGUGUUUCAGAACUCUGUCUUUUACUUAUUGAUCCUUUGGUAUUAGCAUGUUUGGCGCAUUAGUUUUUCUCACGUCAAUCCUGCUUUUUGUUUUAUAUAAUAAUUUGGUCAAACUUUGAACUUUAUGCAUAUUUCUUUCUUUAGCGUAUGAAAGAAAUUUUGUUAGCAAUGUGCAUUACUCAUAAAUGGCUAAUUAGAUAAGCCUUUUAUUGUAAAAUAAAUACUAUGGGAGAGCUUGCCACAAACUCAUAGGUAUCCACCUUCCUCACAAGCCAGAGAACAGGACUCCAUUCCCCCCAAACCCGUCUCUCCUAACUUCUCUCUGAAUGGGAAACAUUCUUAUCGCGCCUGUAAGCUAGAAUAGGAAUGAUUUUGAAGGUAGACUAUGGAGUUUCCGGCUCAACAUUGUACAUAAAAAGUUUGUUAGGGUAGGUGUAAUUCAUAAUCUUGUUAGUUUAUUUCUUUAAUAUACUUAAUGUUUUAAACAUUCUUUAUUCAUGUCUAUUCGAGAUGAACUUUGCUGUUAGCUCCAAUUAUGGCCUUAGCUACCAUUUGCUUUUUUCUGUUAUGGGCUUAUACAUCCUUCUUUGAAACUUCCACCUAGGCUUCUUAGAACUCUUGAACCUUCUUCUUAAACAUGUUUGUUUAGUCUCUAUAGUACAUUGCAAUUUUACAAUUUCAUAUAAUGUCCGUCCUCACUUUGUUCUCUGCUGGUUCAACUUGUUAGCUUCUCCAGAUGUGCUCAAGAACAUUGCAUCCUUUUGUUGUCCAAAAGUUUUCCUCAACUUAAUGUGCAUGCAGCAAUCACAAUGCACUUUUACUGUCCCCACUGCAUCCAGUCUGCACAAUCUAUAUGAAAUGCGUUACUAUUACAUACUACUUUUGGCAAAUUGUUAGAUACCAAUUUUAGCGAAGGCCUCAUUCCUUUAAUACUUUGGUAAUUGCAUUUGUAUAAUCUUCUUUUAAGAAUUGCUUUCAUCAUUUGUUAGCAAUUUGGGCCUUACAUGUUUUAGUAUAUCUAGUUACACUUAAUUCUGUUUCAUGUUGUAGUAUAGCUAGUUACACUUAAUUCUGUUUCCUGUUGUAUACUGCAUUGAUUGCUUCUGCCAUCUUAUGUUUUCAUCAUGUGAGUUCCUUUUCUUUUCCAUUUUUGUCUAUAUUGUUUGUAAGCUUUUACUACUGAUGAGAGAAGGCUGAGAUAAUUUCUCAUGACUAUUACAUAUACUUUUCUUUUUGAUUGUUUGUUUAAAUCUGAAAUCUGAGUAUGUUAAACUUAUAAUUCAACCUGACAGAGUAUUUUGUCCAGCUAUGAAUAAAUUGAAUCUUCUAAUAGCUGCCCUACCUCCUAGACAUACAACACUGAACUCUUGUAAUACAUGAUGAUACUGAUUGAGAAGAAAACAUGCAACUCCAAUGAGGUAAUUUGCAAAAUAAUUAGUUGAUUAUUUAAGAUUAUAGUAAUAUUUUUGUCCAACUUGGAUAUGCCAUACCUACAGUUCAGUUAAACAGUUGCAAUUGGUUACAGUACACUAACUUAUUCAUUUUCUAUUCCUUUUUCUUUAGCAUUCCUCGUUCAGAUCUUCCUUUUUGCUUGAAUGGAUUUGUUCUGUAGAUUUACUCCAUGGAUAUUAAAACAGUAAAGUCAAUCUUCAUUUAUAACAUUAAUGCCGUGGCCUAGCUGACUUGUGUAUUGUUACAAUUGUCACUUCUAAGAUUGCUUCUUAUCAAGUGUGUUGGUGGUUCAGAUGUACUGGUGCUGAUUUUUGGUUACUUCUUGUAUUUGGUUGUAAUAAUUUCUGGAGUGUUUGUGUGCUAGUUUGUGAUGAUUCAGUGGUGUUGUCUGUAGCUGCACAAGAGUCCCUUGAAUCUUUGUUCAUGUUGCGUGAGAAAUUUUUCACAGAAAAUGAGAUUUCUGGGAUAUUUACAAGGUCUGUGCUUUCAUUAGUUUGUUAGAUAGCAGUUACUCCAUUCCUGCUGGAGAAAAUCUAACUCUUAUUCUUAAAACAACUUGUUGCAAGGCUUCCACAAGUGCUUCUUGCAAUUGAGCAGACAGUUUCACUGUUGCCUGGAGACUUCUUGCUUUACUGUAUUUUGCAGGUCCCCAGCUCGUAAUAAAUCACCUUUUUCGUCCUCCUGUGGGUGUAGAUUAUUUUGUUAGAAUGUUUAUCCUUUGAAGGAACAUAUCCUACUAGUACGCAUGAUAAUCUUUCAUCUUGCCUCAUGUCCAUGAAAUUGCUCUUUUGGACCACCGUCCCCAAUAUAAUAUCCUCCGAGUGUUAGUUUUCUUGAAGUUAUCGAUGUUGUUUUUGUUGUAUUAUUAUAAUUUUUUCCAAAAUUUUCAUAUAAUUUGAUCAUGGCACUGAAGCAAUAAAUUUUUAUUUGUUUGGAGCAUUGUUCUCUCCUCGAGAAUUUGCUAUUAAUCAUUGAGUAUGCUAACAGAGUUACUGGACAAUCCUGAUAUUCCCAAACUAUUUUGUGGAUGAAAAGAUGAAUCCAGAUUCCAGUGCAACCACGAUGAUUUUGAAACCUAGGAGUAGAACAUCAUACGCAUGAAUAAUUUUAUCUCAGUAAUUGUGCUCAUUUAUGGUAGACAUAUCACUUUUAUGCUUAUAACUUAAAUUCUUGAUUAGAGUAUGUAUGGCUAGGACUCUAUAUCAAAACAUAUCAGUUCAAGACUAGAACAUAGAUUUGGUUUUCAAAUAUGAGAGAACUGAAAUAUAAUCUAACUAUAAAUUAGAAAAAAAAUCAUGAACAACAUGGAUACAGUUCAGUCCUUGGGCAUCUUGAGUCUAAAUGAAGCCUUGCUGUUUUUGACAUUAGAAUUUUCAUUUUGAAUAACAUAGUUGCUGAAUGGGUUCGCAAAAAGACCCACCUUCGAUCCUCACUUUAUCUGAAAUAUUUUCAUGCAUAUUCGACCCUUUUCUAUUUCUAGUAGUCCUACAUAUGGGCAAGACUCAAUUUCUUGACUUAUCAACCUGAUGCAAGAGUCAUGACCUUGAGUAGAUUAUCAUCAUAACCUUUUUACUCUCUCUUCUUGACUAUUUUACUUAGGUUUGGGUAGAUGCAUGAUUUUUUUUUUUUUAUAUCCUUGUUAUUUUGAAAGUUCAUCUAAAGGAUAGUAUCCUUCAUAAACCAAAAAUGUGGCAUGCAGUUAUGCAUCUUUACACCCCAAAGAAAUCAUUGCGUACAUUUUGGACAGUUCUAUUUAUAUCUUUUGAAAUCUGCAAUUUGGAUACAUGAGAUAUAGUGCUCUAGCUAGUUGAAACAUAUUUAUUUUGAAACAUCUUUAGAUUUUAGGUGGUGAGGAAGAUGCUUAGAGACCAAGGAUGCCCAAAAAAGAAAACUUGGAAAAGGCAAUAGAAAUAAGGAGAACUUUAUAAUGAUUAUAGAGUCCAAAUACUGAAGCAUAACAUGUCUAACAGUGCAAGAUUUAGUAAGUUGGUGGGGAAGUACAACUUGGCAACACGUAAUAGUAAUUGAUAAAUCGGUCUCAUUUUCUGUACUCAAACAUGAUGUUUCAACCUUAAGGUGUGCACUAAGGUGGCUAAAUUGUAAAACAUUGUGGAAAACAUAAACAUAGAAUACGAUUAUGGAAGAUUAAUGCGAGGAGGUGUUUUUGAGAUUAAAGAAGUGAAGAUGAUCCUUGUUCACCUUUAUGAAGUCAUGAUGACAAGGUGAUGGUGUAUAUUCUAGUAUGGUGUCAUUUUAUCACUGGACAUGAUGAUGGACUUUGACCUAAAGUAACCGUUAGGAUUGUUAACUAGGGAAAGGGGCAUGCACAAUUGAUCCAUUUAUUUAUAAAAUCCACUUGGAGACUACUUCGAGAUCAUUUAUGUUCUUAAAUUUGAAUUUUAUGUUUCUUAAGUAUGCUAUAUGCUUCUCACUUAUGACAAAAUAUAAUAAUAGCAGGCUAGCCAUAGACUGACAGAAAACUUCCUGAUUUUUUACCAUGUGUUACGCAUGAUUAUAAUAUACUGUGUACAAAAAUAUUCAUGUGCUUAGAUUCAUAAGACCCCAACAAUAAAUUUCUGUAUGGUGAUAUUGGAUUAGUUCAUUCAUUAGUUAGCCUUCUAUUUCUGUUUUAUCCUUCAUAGUAGUUAUCAAUUUGCUGUGCCUCUUCCACCUCAUUUUGUCCACCCAAAUCAUUUAUUUGGUUGCUUUCUAUCAGUUUGAUGAAUGAGUAUACUUUGGGAGUAAAUGCUGCUGAUGUCUUUCAUUCUCUUAACGAGGAAGGAAAUGUUUCUCUAAUCUUAUCUCAUAUUUUUCUAAUCAUAUCUGAAAUGCAAAUUUAGCUACUAGGCUCAUGUUUCUGGGACUGAAAAAUUAAUUGCUAAUUCCCUAAUUUAAUUGCAAUUAGCAGAUCAAAGCUGCAUGUUUCCUUGAUUGUUUAAACUUAUCCUUGAGCCAUAAUUCACAAUUUGCUGGUUCUGUUGAUAAGCUUAUCUCAUCAAAACCACUGUCAGCUGGAUACCUGCUAUCAGUUGCUGAUUUAAAAGCUGGCACUCUCUCGAGUGGUGCAAGUUAUAGUAUUGACAAUGCUGCUGCUUCUAUCAACUUGAAGAGAUUUCUAGUGCAAGAUAAGGAUUUUCAGAAUCCUGUAAAAAAUGCAAACAACUAUGAAUUCCUCAUAUGCCUCCUUGGUUUUUACAUAUUGGUGGUCACAAACUGAAUCUUGCUCUUGGUAUACUCAAGACUUGUAGGUCUGUCCAUGACUGCAGGUACUCUUAAGUAGUUUUGUUUGUUCUCUUCAAAAAAAAAAAAA